AUGCUACUGCACGAGGUGCACCUGGAUGAGCUCACCGAGGAUGACAUCCUAUGGAAGCACACGGAAUCUGGGCACUACUCCGCGGCCUCCGCUUACAGGGCACAAUUUUUGGGCUUGGUCCUCUCCCCCAUGGACCAAAUGGUCUGGAAGGCUUGGGCCCCACCAAAAGUCAAGUUCUUUGCUUGGCUCGCGCUUCAGGAUAGGAUCUGGAUUGCGGACAGAUUGGAGAAGCGAGGAUGGCCUAACUGUGGCCCCUGCCCCUUGUGCCGACGGGUGCAGGAAUGUGGCCCUCAUCUUUUCUUCAGAUAACGUUUCACUCUCAGGCUUUGGAACAUGGCUAUUCAGAAAUUUCGCAUCCACGACAUGGACACGUCCACAUGGCACCUGUUUGACUCCGUUCAUGCCUGGUGGGCGAGCACAUGCACCACGGGCACCACCGACAGAAAAGCAAAGGCAUCGAUUACCAUGCUAGUGUCAUGGGUCAUCUGGAAUGAGCGCAACGCAAGAGUGUUCAGGCAAAAGAGCACACCUCCGCAAAUCUUGCUCAGCAUCAUUGAAGACGAGGCAAACCUUUGGAUCAAAGUUGGGGCAAAGAAACUAGGGUCUUUUUUAUUGCGAGAAUAA
rnacentral:rRNA from 1 species